AGUCGAGCGGAAACGAUCCUAGCUUGCUAGGAGGCGUCGAGCGGCGGACGGGUGAGUAACACGUGAGAAUCUGCCCAUUAGAGGGGGAUAACCUGGGGAAACCCAGGCUAAUACCGCAUAAUCCCUACGGGGGAAAGCAGGGGAUCUUCGGACCUUGUGCUGAUGGAUGAGCUCGCGUCGGAUUAGCUUGUUGGUGAGGUAAUGGCUCACCAAGGCGACGAUCCGUAGCUGGUCUUAGAGGAUGAUCAGCCACACCGGGACUGAGACACGGCCCGGACUCCUACGGGAGGCAGCAGUGGGGAAUCUUGGACAAUGGGGGCAACCCUGAUCCAGCCAUGCCGCGUGUGUGAAGAAGGCCUUCGGGUUGUAAAGCACUUUCAGUAGGGAGGAAGGCUUAUCCUUAAUACGGAUGAGUACUUGACGUUACCUACAGAAGAAGCACCGGCUAAUUUCGUGCCAGCAGCCGCGGUAAUACGAAAGGUGCGAGCGUUAAUCGGAAUUACUGGGCGUAAAGCGCGCGUAGGCGGUUUGCUAAGUCAGAUGUGAAAGCCCCGGGGCUCAACCCCGGAACUGCCUCCAAAACUAUCGGUCUAGAGUUCGAGAGAGGUGAGUGGAAUUCCGAGUGUAGAGGUGAAAUUCGUAGAUAUUCGGAGGAACACCAGUGGCGAAGGCGGCUCACUGGCUCGAUACUGACGCUGAGGUGCGAAAGUGUGGGGGAGCAAACAGGAUUAGAUACCCUGGUAGUCCACACCGUAAACGAUGAAUGCCAGUCGUCGGGUAGCAUGCUAUUCGGUGACACACCUAACGGAUUAAGCAUUCCGCCUGGGGAGUACGGUCGCAAGAUUAAAACUCAAAGGAAUUGACGGGGGCCCGCACAAGCGGUGGAGCAUGUGGUUUAUUCGAAGCAACGCGCAGAACCUUACCAACCCUUGACAUCCUCGGACCGCCAGAGAGAUCUGGUUUUCACUUCGUGACCGAGUGACAGGUGCUGCAUGCUGUCGUCAGCUCGUGUCGUGAGAUGUUCGGUUAAGUCGGCACGAGCGCAACCACAUCUAGUGCAGCAGUUCGCUGGCACUCUAGGAAACUGCCGUGAUAGCGGAGAGGUGAUGACGUCAGUCUCAUGCCUACGUGGCUACACGGCUAAUGCACAAAUGGUUAUCCAAAAGUUCGUCGAUUGGGCCCGCACCGACCUUGAUCGACCCCUGUAAUCCGUUACCCAUGAUACCGCCGGGGAAAAA
rnacentral:rRNA from 1 species